GUGCUUGUUUCGGCAGUACAUAUACUAAAAUUGAAACGAUACAGAGAAAAUGAGUAUGGUCCCUGCGCAAGGAUGACACCCAAAUUUGUGAAGAGUUCCACAUUUUU